UACAGAGGGCGCGAGCGUUAAUCGGAAUAACUGGGCGUAAAGGGCGCGUAGGCGGUUGUAUGAGUGUGAUGUGAAAGCCCUGGGCUUAACCUAGGAAGUGCAUCGCAAACGAUACAACUGGAGUAGUGGAGAGGGUAGCGGAAUUUCCGGUGUAGCGGUGAAAUGCUUAGAUAUGACAUAGAACACCAAUUGCGAAGGCAGCUUGCUACACUACUAUUGACACUGAGGCACGAAAGCGUGGGGAUCAAACAGG
rnacentral:rRNA from 1 species